rnacentral:lncRNA from 1 species
UCUGUCAUUUAAAUUGAAAGAAAAUUAACAAAGUGAUUAUAUAUAUUAAAAAAAAAAAAUCGGGACUUCCCUGGUGGUCUGGUGGUUAAGACUCCAUGUUUCCACUGUAGGGGGCGUGGGUUUGAUCCCUGGUCGGGGAACUAAGAUCCUUCAAGCCACAAGGAGCGCCAGAAAAAAAAGAAGCAGCAGAUUAGAGACUAUAAACUCCCCCAGGCCCAUCUGACCGCAAGAGAUAAGGCAGAAAUGAAACUGAAAAAUAGUGCUGAAGUGCCGAUGUGAAACUCUGGGCAGAAAGGGGAACCCUUCCUGAAUGUGGCAAAGCUCAGCUCUCUUUCCUGGGGAGGCCAUUGUUAUGUCAUCAGCCCCCAGCCUGGCCCCCGGCACACCUGGUCAGUUACCUGGGGAAGGACAGAGAGGCGGGCGGAGUAAUCAGCUCAGAAUGCGGAGACCUGGGUUGCCUGGGUUGCAACCUGGGUUGCCUGGGUUUCUACCCAGGCUCUGCCCCUUCCUCAAAGCUGUGACCUUGAGAAGGCAAGCUGUGGAGAGAGCUGCUGAUCCAUGCUUAAAGGGAGAACAUCUCCUCUCCCCCUCCCCAAGGCCACGGCAGCCCCUGUGUCCCUCCCAGCCAGGCAGGAAGGAGGAAAGGGGUGAGCAUCUGGAGAGAGCAACAGCCAAGAGAAGCAGAGGCCAGCCAAGACUGAAGAGCUCUCUUGUGCCCUGAAUCCUGGGGAGCAGGUUUCCUGUGCCAGGAUCCCCAGCGGUGGCGCCAGCCUCCGAGCUUCACCUGCCAAAAGGGACACCAGCCUUGUCCGCCAGGGCCUGGGGCCACGGCUGGGUCCUGGCACCAGAGAAGGUUUGGGCAGGGCCUUCCACCAGCGCUCAUGCUGGCCCUGUGGCCAUCCUGCCUUCCAAACCCCGUUUCUGUGCUCUGACUUUGAAAUAUUGACUCACUCCCUGCUGGCUCCCCCGUUUGUCAGUUGGGCUUUUGUUCAGGCGCAGCCUCCUGGAGGCGGCCCGGGGUCACCUUCACAUCCUGCCAGCCCCCACCAGAGGGGCUCCUGGACAUGGAGAAAGGCAGGGAAGAAAGGGGAGACCCUGGGGACACCCCAAUCGAUGGGAGUUUUUCUUCCAGCGCAGCGGCGGCCCAGCAGUGCCCAGCGUCCAGGUUGCCUGUGUACAGCUCUGGCUCUGCUCACGGAGGAGGAGGGCUGGACCCUGCAGAGGGACUGGGCUGUCGUUGAGAGUCUGGGCGGGGCUCCCAGGCCCACAGAAGUUCAACGCAGGCCAAGCUGGAGUGGGUAACAAGCCCGGGCCAGGGAUCUGAAGGCUGGGUGUGCAGCCUCUGGAUAAAGUCUGCUCUGGAGCCAGGCAGGCCUAGGCUAGAUCCCUGGGCGAGCUACUCCACCCCUGAGUCUCAGAUACCACAUCUGUUGUUCAGGCGCUCAGUCGUGUCUGACUCUUGGCGACCCCAUGGACUGCAGCACGCCAGGCCUUCCUGUCCUUCACCAUCUCCCGGAGUUCGCUCAAACUCAUGUCCAUUGAGCGGGUGAUGCCAUCCAAGCGUCUCCUUCUCGGUCGCCCCCUCCUCCUCCUGUCUUGACUCUUUCCCAGCAUCAGGGUCUGUGGUUUACCGUUUCUGUAAAAUGGGGAUAAUCACAGUGCUUCCUCCCAGGCUGCAGGAGGAAGGAACGAAAUUAAUAUACCAGACUGACUGUGAGGGCCCAGGUACCAGUCAUUCCCAUGACAAUAAUGCCUCUGGCUCUUCUCUUGCUCCCCUAGUCCACCCUCUAGCCAGAGUGCUCUGCUCUUCGCUUCUGGAAGCUUCCAUGCUGUCUCACUCCUCCUGGCUUGUAUGUGUGGGACACUCUGCUCCUGCUCUUCUUACCCAGCUUUAGAUGAGAUACUUCCUAGGAAACAGGGUCAUUUCCCCACGAGGCUCAAGAGCCGCCUCGCACUCAGGGAAGACGAGACCCGGCUUCCAACCCCCUCUCCCACGUCCUCCUCCGAGGCUGUCAGGCUCCCCUUUGGUGAAAAGCACACACCAAAGAGGACUUGGAGAGAAUUGAAUGUGAUGUCGGAUCACCUAGCGCAGAGUCUCGUGUGGAGCAGGUGAUCAAUUUUUUAAAAGCAACAAAUGUGAAUUUUUUAAAAGACGCCAUAAAUCAAAAGUGUGUUUUACAUCUUCUCCCUCUGACGUUUUUCCCUCCGAUCUCCAAUCCCCAGUUCAUAAUUCCUUCCCCUUGACAUCGUCUUCAAAAUGUUUUCAAUUUAUAAUGUAUUGGCUUCCCCCCACCCACCCACCAAGACGGGUGUCUUCAAGUUUUGAUCUAAAGAAUACAAUCAACGAAAUUAAUAUUUAAAUCUAGGAAAAUCUAAAUUUGGUGACUAAUCUCAGGGGUGUGAACUAACAAGAAGAUUUGGGGAUCUUCCAGCUCUGCGUAUCUUCUGUGAUUCUCCCAGGUUAAGGAGGAUGGGCAACCUGCCUCCCCCCUGGCCCCUUCCCCUGCAACCCAACCUCAUGACCAGAAAGCCCAGCCAGGACAAGGGAUAUUAGUGCUUACACUGGGAUGACAGUCAUGAGCCAGGACAGCUGUGGCAAACAAAGAGCUCAGGUCCCCCUCCUGACAGCUGUCAUCACUAAGGAGUCACAGCCUCCUCCCCAGGGAGUCCCCAGCAGCCUCAGGAUCCCCUCCCAGCCUGGCUGCCUGUCUCAAUCCACCUUCCAAAGCAGCAGAGUGGAUGCUCCAUGUAGUCAGCAUUUAUGUCCACUUUGCUCCAAGCGUAUCCCCAUAACGUGACCUGGAACAGUAUGAAGGCGUGGUUAUGCGUGGUUAACUCUUCUCAACACAUGGACUGUAGCCCGCCAGGCUCCUCUGUCCGUGGAAUUACCCAGGCAAGGAUACUGGAGGAGGAAAUGUUUCCUCCUCCUCCAGGGGAUCUUUCCAACCCAGGGAUCGAACCUGCGUCUCCUGCUUUGGCAGGAGAUUCUUUAUCACUGAGCACCUGGGAAGCCCUUCGACAGUCAGUGCUCAGUAAACGCAUGUGGAAUAAAUGACCAAAUCAAGGUUAGUAAGAUGAAGCCCUUUGCCAAGCCUGCUGCAAACAGUGGUGGCUUCUGCUUUAAAAUCAUCAUUACCUGGGACCUCCCUGGUGGUCCAGUGGUUAAGACUCCACUUUCCUAAUGCUGGGGACCUCAGUUCAAUCCCUGGUCAGGGAAUUGAGAUCCCACAUGCUGUGGGGCAACUAACCCCAUGUGGUGCAACCAGAGAGAAAGCUCGAGAGCCACAAUGAAGACCCAGUGAAGCCAAAGUAAAUAAAUUUUAAAAAUAAAAGUUGUCUUAAGAAAAUCAUCAUUACCUCCAAUAAAUUCUGUAUUUCUUCAUUUUGCGUUCUCCUACAUGUACAGUUGAAUUUAUUCAUGAAACCUGAUGUUUGCAAAAAUCCUUAGUCACCAAGACGUCAUUCAGUAGAUGAAGG